CUUUGAGAUGGCUUUGGAUAACAUAAUCUAUAAACGGCACAGAUGACCAGUGGCCCUUCCUUACACGUGUGUGAUUCUCAGUAGCACCUUCGUUGCAUUGGCAGUCAGGCAGCCUCUGCAGAGGCCCGUGGGUUUGGAACAAAGAUACUGAAGGAGCCCGGUGCAUCUGCCCACCCUCCACCUGGACUCUUCUGCCCAUGGACCUUGUUCCUGGUGGUAGAUAACCAGCUUUGUGAAUAGCAGACAGCUGUGAGAAUUACUCUGUGUUGUGGUGUGAACUGAGAACACAGCACACACUGUGUUUUCCUCUACUAACUAUAAAAGAAAAGAGAAAUACCAUUUUGCAGAGUGAGUGACAGCUAUAAGAAAUGUAUAAUCCUUGAAGGUACAGUAAAGUUUGAGGAAGAAUGUGUGCAAAAUGUUCAUCUUGAUGGUAACUGAGAUUUAGAGUCUGCUUUUUUAAACUCAAAAUUUCGACACUGGCUGAAGAAACUCCUAUCAUUUGUCUCCCACAGAAAUGUUCAAGCUGACUCCAAACCAUCCCUGCACUGUCUUCCCGGGCUUACUUCUGAUCAUAUGGGGAAACACAGUUUGGCUCUGGGAGGAUCUUGUUCUCAUUUGUGUUUGCCGAUCCGCAUUUUGUCACUAAUGUACACCAACACUUAGAGCAAGGUUGGCGUGGAAAGAGCAGCCUCCGCUCAGGCUUGUUCCAGUGCAAGUGCGGAUACAGUUUGAUCAGAGGAGCAGUGAGAUGUGCUGGGCACGUGGGCGGCAGAGCUGCAGAGAGGCUUUGAAAAAUCCCAGUCCCGUAGCUCCAAGGCGGCAAGACUCGGGCCCCAUCUGCUAUAAACGGAUUAAAAAUCUUUUCUCUUUUCAAAGGUUUGAUCCCAACAAAGGCCUGAUGUGAUGGACUCAAAGUGGCAGCUUGGACUUGGAAGUGAUUUAGAGCAGAAGUUGCUAAGAUUUACAUGUCUGGGGAGAACUGGCAGAGGUGUGAGUACAGGGACCAUGUAUUCAGUGUGUGGUGUUUUACUGGAAGGCUGUUUGCAGCAGAUGAAAGACGGGAAUAAGUUGAGAGGCCAGGACUCUGCCGAUUGGUGCAGCAGAAGUAUGUCUUUGUAACGCUCAGCUUUGGAGGUAAAAGCAUGCAUGCUUAUGAAGAACGGUGUCUCCCACAAAAGCCAUCUUCCAUGUUACUUUCCCUUCCUCUUUCAGAGGCUCCCUCUCAGAGCACUCCCAGACUCUUCCAGAUGAUGGUAUGGCGUCGUUAGUGACAAGCUAACGGAGACACGGGAGGGAAACAAAACCCCAAACAGAAAUGUGCUGCACCGAGAGAAAAAUGGACGCCAGCCAUUCUUCUGUACUUCCAGCGUGAGGCUGAGGAGGAGGAAGCUUGGAGAAGCCAUCUUACCGACAACAUCACAAACUAUUUGAAGUCAGAUGUCACCCCUGGAAUGCAUCGAGUUGACAGAACCUAUUCAGAAAGAUUUGUCUUGGCUCUAAGAUGUCUCAAUGAACUAGAAAUGAAAACAGCGUUGAAAAUGAUAUUCAAUAAGGAAAAACAAAUGAGAGAUAACCUGUACAGAGUCGUCAAGAAAGAUGUCAGCUCCUCAGUGGAGGCUGCCUCUGCUGCCCCUCCCAUGGGAAACAUUCAGCUAAGAGGCUAAAGAACAGUUCUGGGGACCUGAUACCUUGGAGUUGGCUCAUCCCUGAGACCAGGCAGU